AAGAGCCCAAACCAAAGAUUUAUCUUUGGGGUUGCGGACAGAACAUUAACGAGAAAUUAUGGUUAACCGAACACAACUGGAAAGUUGGACCGUAGGGGGUAAUAGUCCUGUAGGUGAAAAUUGUAAUGAUCAAGUUCUGAUCCAGAGUACCACGAGACACGUGAAACCUUGUGGGAAGCAGGGAGGACCACCUCCCAAGGCUAAAUACUACCUGAUGACCGAUAGUGAAGCAGUACCGUGAGGGAAAGGU
rnacentral:rRNA from 1 species